CACGUAGGAGGCGAGCGUUGUCCGGAAUCAUUGGGCGUAAAGAGCGCGCAGGCGGCUUGGCAAGUCGGGUGUGAAAUCCCGGGGCUCAACCCCGUGACUGCAUCCGAUACUGUCAGGCUAGAGGUAGGUAGGGGAGAUCGGAAUUCCUGGUGUAGCGGUGAAAUGCGCAGAUAUCAGGAGGAACACCGGUGGCGAAGGCGGCGACCUGGUCCUUUUACUGACGCUGAGGCGCGAAAGCGUGGGGAGCAAACAGG
rnacentral:rRNA from 1 species